rnacentral:lncRNA from 1 species
AUUAACUUCUCUCUCCCUUAUUUCCUCACGCAUACAUACAUAUACAUUCUCUCUCUCUGCGUGACUUCUCCCUCUCUCUCAGCUCUGUCGUCUCUCUUUCUCUCUCCCUGUCUCCAGCGGCCAUCGCCGGCCUUCGUCGCCUCCGGCGCGGCGAGGUCGGCCUCUCCUCUCCCCCUUUCCUUUCUUUCCAUUUCUCUUUUCCCUAUGUCUCAAUCCCCAAAUUAUAAAAUCAAAAUCCUAAGGUUUCUACCUCUCUUCAUCCCCUCUGGAAUUCGUCUCUCCGGCGAAGCCUGUCGCCCCGUCGUCGUCUUUGUCACGCCGCCGCCUCUUCUGAUUCAGGUAAGUCCUUGUCUCUCUCUCUCUACUUCUGUCUCUGCUCUCUCCCUCGAACUCCCUCUCUCUCUGCCCUCUCUCGAUCUCUCGCUCUCUCCCUCUAGCUCGUUCUGCCUUUCUCCCUUCUUCCUGCUGUCUGUCUCUAUCUCACACUCUAUCUCACUAUCUCUCACUCAAUCUCCAUCCCUACCUCUCGCUCAACCUCCCUCUUCCUCUACUGUCAGUAGCCACCGCGGCCGCCGUGGCGUGAGCAGCGCCGGCGGCCACCACCGUCAGCCAUGCCUCCGCCGUUAUGGUUUGCGGCUGUUGCUGCUGCUACUGCUAAUAAUCCCCCUCUUCUCUAUUUCCAGUUCAAAAUCCUAUCCUAGCAAACUUCCUAUCUAUUUUCUAUUUCAAAUCUAAUAUCUCAAUUAAUAAAUCUCUAAUUUUUUUUCCUUUUCAGGAAUCGACCGGCGUCGUCGUUGCUUGAGAUGUCUCCGGCGCAACAGUCCUUUAUCAGCUCAAAAUCCUAUUUUUAUGAUUGUUUUCCUUAUUGCUUACUGGAAAGCUAAAGUUUUGAUAGAAGAAAGUAUACUGUUGUUAGUUAUGCUAUACUUAACUUGUUUGUUGUAGUUAGGUCCAUCUUCCCUAUUGCUAAUAGCAUUCUGUACAUGUAUUGAACAAAAGAAAGACUACCUUCUUUGCUGUGAACUGCUGCGGGGAUGUUUGUAUUCUGAUGAAUAUUUGUUUUGCUGUUGGGAAUUUGCAGAAUGGGGGAAAAAUUGUUUCACGCUCAACUCCUCUUUUCUUAUACUGUUUUAAGUCGGUUGAGGGAGUGGCUGAGUCACGUAUGCUACGUGUUCUUUCAAGGAUCAGAUAUGCUCUAAUGAUUUUUAUAUAAUCAGUAAAGCUUAUAGAAAUUAACUGGUUUGGGAUUCCUACUAUUAUUGUCACCUAUUGACCCAAAUAACAGCUAUUGGGCUCAGUUAAAAACUGAAUUCAUAUAUACAGAUACUGGGCUUUGGUUCCAAAUAAG